AGUGAACGCUGGCGGUAGGCCUAACACAUGCAAGUCGAACGGCAGCACAGUAAGAGCUUGCUCUUACGGGUGGCGAGUGGCGGACGGGUGAGGAAUACAUCGGAAUCUACUUUUUCGUGGGGGAUAACGUAGGGAAACUUACGCUAAUACCGCAUACGACCUACGGGUGAAAGCAGGGGAUCUUCGGACCUUGCGCGAUUGAAUGAGCCGAUGUCGGAUUAGCUAGUUGGCGGGGUAAAGGCCCACCAAGGCGACGAUCCGUAGCUGGUCUGAGAGGAUGAUCAGCCACACUGGAACUGAGACACGGUCAAGACUCCUACGGGAGGGAGCAGUGGGGAAUAUUGGACAAUGGGCGCAAGCCUGAUCCAGCCAUACCGCGUGGGUGAAGAAGGCCUUCGGGUUGUAAAGCCCUUUUGUUGGGAAAGAAAAGCAGCAGGUUAAUACCCCGCUGUUCUGACGGUACCCAAAGAAUAAGCACCGGCUAACUUCGUG
rnacentral:rRNA from 1 species